UGAGGAAUAUUGGUCAAUGGGCGGAAGCCUGAACCAGCCAUCCCGCGUGAAGGAAGAAGGCCUCAUGGGUUGUAAACUUCUUUUCUGUUUGAAGAAUAAGCUUGUCGAGACAAGUGAUGGCGGUAGGACAGGAAUAAGCAUCGGCUAACUCCGUGCCAGCAGCCGCGGUAAUACGGAGGAUGCAAGCGUUAUCCGGAUUUAUUGGGUUUAAAGGGUGCGCAGGUGGUUUAAUAAGUCAGUGGUGAAAGUCUGCCGCUUAACGGUAGGAUUGCCAUUGAUACUGUUGGACUUGAAUAUGGAUGAGGUAGGCGGAAUGUGUAGUGUAGCGGUGAAAUGCUUAGAUAUUACACAGAACACGGAUUGCGAAGGCAGCUUACUAAUCCAUGAUUGACGCUGAGGCACGAAAGCGUGGGGAGCAAACAG
rnacentral:rRNA from 1 species